rnacentral:rRNA from 1 species
UAGGGAAUCUUCCGCAAUGGGCGAAAGCCUGACGGAGCAACGCCGCGUGAGUGAUGAAGGUCUUCGGAUCGUAAAACUCUGUUAUUAGGGAAGAACAUAUGUGUAAGUAACUGUGCACAUCUUGACGGUACCUAAUCAGAAAGCCACGGCUAACUACGUGCCAGCAGCCGCGGUAAUACGUAGGUGGCAAGCGUUAUCCGGAAUUAUUGGGCGUAAAGCGCGCGUAGGCGGUUUUUUAAGUCUGAUGUGAAAGCCCACGGCUCAACCGUGGAGGGUCAUUGGAAACUGGAAAAACUUGAGUGCAGAAGAGGAAAGUGGAAUUCCAUGUGUAGCGGUGAAAUGCGCAGAGAUAUGGAGGAACACCAGUGGCGAAGGCGACUUUCUGGUCUGUAACUGACGCUGAUGUGCGAAAGCGUGGGGAUCGAACAGGAUUAGAUACCCUGGUAGUCCACGCCGUAAACGAUGAGUGCUAAGUGUUAGGGGGUUUCCGCCCCUUAGUGCUGCAGCUAACGCAUUAAGCACUCCGCCUGGGGGAGUACGACCGCAAGGUUGAAACUUAAAGGAAUUGACGGGGGUCAUAGCUGUUUCCUG